rnacentral:misc_RNA from 1 species
CCGAGUUUCUCAGGGGGCCUUUGUCCCCCCGAAACCUCCACCCGGUGCUUAGAUGACUCGCCUUGUCGUUGCCUCGGCGGGAUGCACAGCAGUGUUUCCCGCCGGCGGACAGCACACAAAAACCCUGAUAUCAACCGUGCAGUCAGAGCCCUCGUGGCAAAAAAAAUAGUCA